rnacentral:RNase_P_RNA from 1 species
CCCCCAUCUGAGAGAUGGCUUCCCUGCCUUGGUAGGGGAGAGGAAAGUCCGGACUCCACCUGGCAAAUUCAGUCGCUAACGGCGACCGUGUCGGCAGAAAUGUCAGCAUAGGACCAUUGCCACAGAGACAAUACUAGCCGCGGAGCGACUAGCCUGAGCGAAAUAACCCAUCGACUUCGCUCAGGGUCGCCGCUCCGCGGCGAAAGGUGAAAAGCCCCGUUCAGCGGGGAGGGCCCUGAGUGAUUAGGUGCCCUCGGUUAAAUUCUGGACGGAGCAAGUUGGGAUGGGAAGAGUGGAUCAAGCCGCCAGGGGCUCCAGUCUUGCCCAACGCUAGAGCUUCGCGGCAACGCGGAGUCGAGAUAGAUCAUCUCCUCGACAGAAUCCGGCUUAUGAUGAUGGGGAAACU